rnacentral:snoRNA from 1 species
UCGCACAGUUCAUUGUCCUGCUCCUGUUGUUUGGAGCAGAGAUAUUUCUACUGUGCUACAGAAACAUGGAGGUCAAUUAGCAGAGUGGUUAACAGUGCCGCCUCUGCCAGUCCCCUUCAGACAAAC